AAAGAUCUGCUGCUCCCUUUGAUUGCAGGUGACCAUUUGAUCUCCGGGAGCCCUGGCUCCCUCGCUUGGAACAGGAGCCACAGCUGCCGCGUGGGAUGAUGAUGUGCUGGUGGACGGACAGCCAUGUGACCGCGAGGCUGUGGCGGCCUGCCAGGUGGGCGACCCCGUGCGCCUGGAGGUGCGGCUGACCAACCGGAGCCCGCGCAGCGUAGGGCCCUUCGCCCUCACUGUGGUCCCCUUCCAGGACCACCAGAACGGCGUGCACAACUACGACCUGCACGACACCGUCUCCUUCGUGGGCUCCAGCACCUUCUACCUCGACGCGGUGCAGCCGUCCGGCCAGUCGGCCUGCCUCGGGGCCCUCCUCUUCCUCUACACGGGAGACUUCUUCCUCCACAUCCGGUUCCACGAGGACAGCACCAGCAAGGAGCUGCCACCCUCUUGGUUCUGCCUGCCCAGUGUGCACGUGUGUGCCCUGGAGGCGCAGGCCUGAGCCCGCCUACUUCCGUCCCUCUUUCUGCAGGGCCAGAGGUGACCCUGCCUGGCCU
rnacentral:lncRNA from 10 species